rnacentral:rRNA from 1 species
AACGAACGCUGGCGGCAGGCCUAACACAUGCAAGUCGAGCGCCCCGCAAGGGGAGCGGCGGACGGGUGAGUAACGCGUGGGAACGUGCCCCUUUCUACGGAAUAGCCUCGGGAAACUGGGAGUAAUACCGUAUAAGCCCUACGGGGGAAAGAUUUAUCGGGAAGGGAUCGGCCCGCGUUGGAUUAGGUAGUUGGUGGGGUAAUGGCCUACCAAGCCGACGAUCCAUAGCUGGUUUGAGAGGAUGAUCAGCCACACUGGGACUGAGACACGGCCCAGACUCCUACGGGAGGCAGCAGUGGGGAAUCUUAGACAAUGGGCGCAAGCCUGAUCUAGCCAUGCCGCGUGAGCGAUGAAGGCCUUAGGGUUGUAAAGCUCUUUCAGGGGGGAAGAUAAUGACUGUACCCCCAGAAGAAGCCCCGGCUAACUCCGUGCCAGCCGCCGCCGUAA